UUGAUGAAAAUUGAACUCGGU
rnacentral:piRNA from 1 species